rnacentral:lncRNA from 1 species
UUGUAAUACCAUAGUGAUAAACGAAGAACAGAAUGAAAAAAUCAUAGUUUGUUAGAAAUAAAUUCAUUCUACAACAAAUUGCGAAGAAGCAAGUUCGUGUAACCUGCACACAUCAUUAUGAGCUGAAAAAAUGGAAAAUAUCAAACAGACGCUAACGAUCGGAGAAAAUAAAAAAUACAGACGACGGAUGGGAUUUCAUGCUAUGCGAGCGGGCGGAACUCGUGGUAAAGAGAGAGGAAGAGAAAGAAACGGAGGUGAGAGUGAAGGUCAGGAAAGAA